AUCAAUGUAUUGGGGGUAAUGACGCAGCUAAAUUCGAACCGAGGCGUGUCUAUUGCUGGUUGAAAAUUAUUUCCAAACGCCUUCUUAGGCCUUGAGUUUGAAUUUGAGUUGAAUCUCGAGUUUUAAUAGAGUUCUUGAAUAUUUUUUGAAUAU